UUUCCGUAGGUGAACCUGCGGAAGGAUCAUUGUCGAAACUUGCAACGCAAUAUGACCCGCGAACAAAUUUAGUCACUGCGGAUGGUGCCUCGUGCUCCUGAAGCAAAGGCCUCUUUGGGUGCUAUGCUCCUUACAGUGUGCCACUUAAACAAACCCCGGCGCAGAAUGCGCCAAGGAAUAUUAACAAAAAAGUGAGAGCACUACAAUCACCUCAAAGAUGAUGUGUGGACAGUAGUUGUGUCUCCUUUCUUAACCAAAAUGACUCUCGGCAACGGAUAUCUCGGCUCUCGCAUCGAUGAAGAACGUAGCGAAAUGUGAUACUUGGUGUGAAUUGCAGAAUCCCGUGAACCAUCGAGUCUUUGAACGCAAGUUGCGCCCAAAACCUUCGGGUCGAGGGCACGUCUGCCUGGGUGUCACGUAACGUCGCUCCCACUCUCCCUUGAAGGGUUUGUGAUUUUGGGGCGGAAAAUGGCCUCCUGUGAACUCCUUUGGUCGUGGUUGGUCGAAAAAAGAGACCAAGUCGGUUGGUGUCGUGGCAUUCGGUGGUUGAAAGUACCCUCACAACGCCACGUUCAUUUGCCUAACUUAUAAGAAUCUCUAACGGGAAUAAAUAAAAAAUUCUCGUAUAAGAUGCGACCCCAGGUCAGGCGGGAUUACCCGCUGAGUUUAA
rnacentral:rRNA from 1 species